ACUAGAAGCGCCCGCGCGUGAGCCGAAGAGAAUUCCGGGAGACGUGGCUGCUGCAAAUAAGUGCCGUACAUGCGUCGUACGCGGGAAACGCUCUCGCGCGUCGAGGAGCUACCUGCUUUUAAGAAACCCGAUUCCUCUCACAUCCAGUGGCGAUGCUCGUAUCUUCCAUACCAUCGGCGCGCAUUUCUGGAUUCCCCCGCGCGCAUCCGCACGGUGGUGUGGGAAGGGAGGCGCAGAUUAGACCCAGGUGAGUGAUUUCUUCACGCGCCCGCGGUUUCGCCCAUCGAUUUUGACUGCGUUUUCAUGUUUGUUCGAUGGAGUUCAACGGCGAGCGCAUUUGGAAUCCGGCGAGGCAUUCGCGGUGGUUGGAUGAGGAGACUGGAAGCGCGGAUUCAGACAGGUCUUCGGCAUCCACAUCUGGAUUUCGGCGAGGUAUUCGCGGUGGGGAGAGAGGGACUGAAAGCGUAGAUGUCAGACCCAGAUUUUCCUCCAAAUGAGGACACCUGCGGUCACAUCAGGUUCAUUUUCGCAUCCAAUAGCAGGGAUUCAUCAGGGGCAUCAGACCAGCCUUUUGUUUGUUGUGAAUUCAAGGCCCCUGGAGAAUAGAGUUUUUGCUGCUAGCGCAAAGGCUGCCUCCUGGUGAGAAAGUGCAGAAAGUUUAGUCAAGCAGACUCAUUCCUCUUUUUUUUUUCAAUUCAGUAUAAGGAACAACAUAUCUAGUUGCUAGAUUUUUUUUACUUGUCUAGGCAUCUAUUAAUUGUGUUUAGUCCUAGGUUAGUUGAUCUAGUAUCUCUAGGAUUCGUUUAUCUUCGAACACUCGCUCACCAUGCUGGAAGCUUUUCAAAUCCUUUUUUGUUUAAUUCCAGGACAGAGGUGAGUUUAUAUGAAAUCACUAGCCAACUGUUACUGUCGAGAAGCACAAGUACAGUGCGACCAAGCUUGAGUAUAGAUUGCAGUUCUUAGGGUCAGGUUGUAAAUACAAUAGAGAAUAGAUAACUCAAAUCAAGAGCUUAAGAGGAAGCAUGUUGAUUUUCAGACACGCCUUUUUUCAUCAGAAGAAAUAAUAGCUUAACUGAAUGAUAGUCAGAGCCACAGCUAGAUAACUGAAUGCUUUUUUGUUCUUCUUAGCUUUUUUUACCACUGAAAUGUUUUAGCUUAACAGUUAUUUUUGUUGGGUUGGAGGUGGGGGUUCUAGCAUAGAUUUUUCUCCUAAACAGUAGCCAGCGAUUGCAACUGCAGUUGUUUUGUAUUUUCUCUCUGAAUUCCAGGGGCAAGUACAACCUACAGGUGCAGCUCAAUCUCUGUCUGCUUGUCUUCUCCUACUACAACAGCUUUUGGUCGAUUAGCAGCUCACACAGGUAAUCAGCAGUGACAAGUGCAGGUAUUGCUUAACUUGUUUUUGCAGCUCAUCAAGCAACAGUAGCUUCUGAAUCAACUCAGCUUGUCAGGUUUGUUCAGAGACACAUUGAGGUACAUAGCUGCAUGAGCUAUUGUUUUUUCCUUUUGCCACAAUGAUCUGUUACUCGAGUUGUCUUGCAUAGAAGUUGUCUGAUUUUUUUGUUUAACCCCAUGUGUGGCCUGUAGCUUUUUCCUUGCACUGUUAAUUUAAUCAUGUGUUGCUCUGUCAGGCCAUUAUGUUGUAGUUGCAUUGUUCCAGUAGCUAGCAGCUCUUUGUUUUUAUAUCAGCUAACAACUCUAGCUACAGCAGCAACACUUAUCUGCUUUUUGUUCAGAGUUUUCACUGAUCAGGUGAAUUAAUCUUGAUAUCUCUCUCAUGCUACAGGUCCAGUGAUUAGACGCUUGGUCCAUAUUUUUUGUGAUGCUUUAAACUGCUCGUAAGCUCUAAGUAAGAUUUCAGUCUUAUCUGCAUACCUCUUAGUUAGCACUUGAAUUGAUCAUUUUGAAAAUUAGUUAGUGCUAAUCUUGGCCAUCUGAUUGUUUGUAUCUUUGCUUCCGCGGUACUUUGAGAAAUUCCUAACCGUUCCUAGGGUGAGCUCGUUACUAGUUGGCUUGUGUCAUCUUGAUGGUUAGAAGAGAGGCGUGUCGGGUUGUAUCCGGGACAUGGGCCUUGUUCUCGUUGAGAAUUUUUGAAAGGCUCCCGUUCAACCCCCCUCUGGUCGCCAUAUAUCGGUCCUUCAAUUAUAGUUGAGAUACCACUAGUAUGACAUAUCUGCAGGUGCAUCUGAUUAGUUGCCGAACUUCAUUAGACAGUGAGAAAGUAAGAACAGGCAAUUAAAUGUACUAUGAUCAAGCAAUAUUAUCGUAAGGUCAAUGCAAAUUAGUGCAAAUUGAUGGGCAAUUUUUACAACAUUCUUUCUUCUCUAAUUUCUCUUUAUUUUUACUGUUCUUACAUUGCAGGUUCCCAAGUUAUCCUGCAGGAGAGAUCAAGUACAGUGCAUGAAGAAGAUAUGAUGUGCAUAUGAACUAGCUCAAGUAAAGUACAUAUGUAGUGAGAGCAAGUACAUUUCUUGCAAUUUUUUGUCUAAAUAUGUACUUCAUUAGGCAAUAAUGUUGUUCAGAUUAGGCAAAUUAUGCAAUUAUUUUAGGCAAUAAUAUGGUUUUUAAAUUAGGUAGUAAUAUGGCCAGAAAUUUAGGCAAUAAUGUGUUUCUGUAUUAGCAAAAAUAUGAUCAUGAAUUAGGUAAUAUAGAACUAGCAAUGUUUGUUACCAGAGGUAUUCAGCCUUGCUGAUAUUUUACUCCUAAUACUAACUGCACUUGCUAUUCGUUUCAGUCGUACAAAACAAUGUUUAGGACCUGAAAUCCGAUGUGCCUUUUUAUCUGCCUGCAAGUUUCCUCAUCGAAUUGGCACUGUAACAUGCUCUUCAGCUUGGUGCUUGGUGGUCGGAAAGAUCAUCAGACUGUCAUCGACAGCAGUUUAAUUGCAACUCAACCUCGAUUUUUGAUUCAUGAGCAGCAUGGUAGUAGUUCUAGUAGCUCUAAUCUUUUUGUUUGUUCAGUAUAACAGUAGAGGCUGUUUGUUCAGUAUAACAGUAGAGGCAAUCACAUGUAUGCUGGUAGUUUUGAAACUUUGUUAAUGCUUAGAAUUUAGAUGGGUGAAAUAUAUUUGUAUAUGUUCUAAUUUGCUUACUAUUUUUCAAAACUUUGCUUAUGGGAGAGUAAAAAU